GGACGCUUAGCUCAGCUGGUUAGAGCAACUCGUUUACAUCGAGAAGGUCGCAGGUUCGAAUCCUGCAGCGUCCA
rnacentral:tRNA from 1 species